UACGGGGGAUGCAAGCGUUACUCGGAAUCACUGGGCGUAAAGGGCGCGUAGGCGGCCUAGCAAGUCUGGUGUGAAAGCCCAUUGCUCAACCCUGGAAGGGCACUGGAAACUGUUAGGCUUGAGUUCCGGAGAGGAGGGGGGAAUUCCCGGUGUAGCGGUGAAAUGCGUAGAUAUCGGGAGGAAUACCGGUGGCGAAGGCGCUCCUCUGGCCGGAAACUGACGCUGAGGCGCGAAAGCGUGGGGAGCAAACAGG
rnacentral:rRNA from 1 species